AAAAUACUCCGGGCUUGGCCCAUUCAGACCAUUCAUUCACCAUGUCCAAACAUUUCCUUUGAAGCCCCAAUUUGUUCUAUGAUGAUCGCUUGAGAUGAAUUUCUAUAAAACAGCCUGUUAUGUGCCUAGUGUCCGUGAAGUACCCAGUGGAAUUUGCAAUGCCCGCUGUUCAGCCGAGGAUUUUCCCCCCAAUGAUGGCAUUUCAUAUUAGGCUUCCUGUGAAUCCGGCCUGAUUGAACGGUUUGAUUGCUCUUUCACUCAGAGUACUAUUUAUUCAGACUAAAGGUUGCAUGCAGAGCUAGAGAAAGUGCCUCCUGUUUGAUAGUUAGGGAGCCAAGCUAUUUCCUGCCAAAAUCUUUUUUUCUCCCAUUUUUAAUUAAAAGUUACUGUGUCAAAUGCUUGCUCUUGUUCAAUGUGGGUUUCUGGAAGUAUGUGAAAAACAUUUUGC